rnacentral:rRNA from 1 species
GGGUGAGUAAUGCAUAGGAAACUGCCCAGUAGUGGGGGAUAGCCCGGGGAAACCCGGAUUAAUACCGCAUACGCCCUUCGGGGGAAAGCAGGGGAUCUUCGGACCUUGCGCUAUUGGAUGUGCCUAUGUCGGAUUAGCUAGUUGGUGGGGUAAGAGCCUACCAAGGCGACGAUCCGUAGCUGGUCUGAGAGGAUGAUCAGCCACAUCGGGACUGAGACACGGCCCGAACUCCUACGGGAGGCAGCAGUGGGGAAUAUUGGACAAUGGGGGCAACCCUGAUCCAGCCAUGCCGCGUGUGUGAAGAAGGCUUUCGGGUUGUAAAGCACUUUCAGUGAGGAGGAAAACCUUACGACUAAUACUCGUGAGGCUUGACGUUACUCACAGAAGAAGCACCGGCUAACUCCGUGCCAGCAGCCGCGGUAAUACGGA